CUCCUCUUCUUCUUUUUCUUCUUCGUCUUCUUCUUCUUCUUCUUCUUCUUCUUCUUCUUUUCUUCUUCUCCUCUUUUUCUUCUACUUCUCCUCUUCUUCUAUUUUCAUCCUCUUCUCCUCUCCUCCUCUUCUUAUUCUCCUUCUCCUUCUUCUUCUUUUCUUCUCCUCCUCGUCUUAUUUUCCUUUUUCCUAUUCUUAUUUUCUUCUUCUCCUCUUUCUCUUCUCUUCUUCUUCUUAUUCUUCUUCUUCUUCU
rnacentral:lncRNA from 1 species